UACAGAGGGUGCAAGCGUUAAUCGGAAUUACUGGGCGUAAAGCGCACGUAGGCGGCUUGGUAUGUCGGGUGUGAAAUCCCCGGGCUCAACCUGGGAACUGCAUCCGAAACUGCCUUGCUCGAGUAUGGGAGAGGGAAGUGGAAUUUCCGGUGUAGCGGUGAAAUGCGUAGAUAUCGGAAGGAACAUCAGUGGCGAAGGCGACUUCCUGGACCAAUACUGACGCUCAGGUGCGAAAGCGUGGGGAGCAAACAGG
rnacentral:rRNA from 1 species